UACGAAGGGGGCGAGCGUUGUUCGGAUUUACUGGGCGUAAAGGGCGCGCAGGCGGCCAUUCAAGUCAGGCGUGAAAGCCCCGGGCUUAACCUGGGAGGUGCGUCUGGGACUGGGUGGCUAGAGAUCGGGAGAGGAGAGUGGAAUUCCCAGUGUAGAGGUGAAAUUCGUAGAUAUUGGGAAGAACACCGGUGGCGAAGGCGGCUCUCUGGACCGAUACUGACGCUGAGGCGCGAAAGCGUGGGGAGCGAACAGG
rnacentral:rRNA from 1 species